rnacentral:ncRNA from 1 species
CCUUGAUCGACAACGCGAUCAGCAAGAAGCCGCAAACCGUACAGAUCGAUCCGGGCGACAAGGCGUUCAAGACCAGCGGCUGCCAGCCUUGGCAGGCCGGCCCGCCGCCCGACGGCAAUGCGCCCGCUGACUUGCCCGGCCCGGCCGCCGGGGCCCAACUGCAAGCCAACCUCGGCAUCCUCAACGGAUUGCUCGGCCAAGUCGGACAGCAAGUA